AUCCAGCUGACGAGCCCCAAAUAGGGCAUCCUGGAU
rnacentral:hammerhead_ribozyme from 1 species